CUGUUCUCGAUAGCAGCUUGUUUCUUGGCCAUCAUAUCUUCAAUUUUCUUCUUUGCUUCUGGACUCAUGUUGGAUUCACCCAAGAAAGCAUUGACCUGGUCUUGAAGACCCAUAAGAGCUUCAAUGUC
ensembl:ncRNA C06A12.17 ncRNA